rnacentral:lncRNA from 1 species
AUACGAGACUGUCAUACGAUGCUUACAUCUGCAAUAAACCGUUGUGGCAAAUGGAUCUUGGAAUCAUAUUAACGCUAUAAUGUUUAGGCAAAAUGGAUACGUUUUAUGAGAAAUACUGAAUGCUUAAAUCUUCUCUUUGGUGUUUAGAAGUUAACUUGACUGGACAAUGGAUAAAUAAUGUUUGAUAUGGAAAUUUAAAUGUGAAUCAGACAAUGUGGAGAAACCAUAAAUGACGCCAUCGUUUAAUCUGACAACUACAGACAAGUACAAGGAAGCGAAACAGUCGUUGUUAUGGUUACCAUAUGUCAUCAUUACAGUUGUGUGUCUAAUUCUACUGGCCAUUAACUUCUGGUGUUAUCAUAGGAGAAAACGGUUACAAUAUGAGAGAAAGUCAGAAGCACUUGAGACCAGGGAGCGUGUAAGGGAACGCCGAAUCAUCCUUAAUAUUGUCAAGUCAAAAUACAAGGCGUAUAUUGUAAAUGAUAAUGACAUGAGUGUAGGAGACAACUCGUGCGAUGCUUAUGCACAUUUUAUGCAAUGUACAUCUAACGCACAUAGAGUCGCCAAUCUGUA